UAUUAAAAAUUGCAUCUAUUUUUUACUGUUAAAAAUUAGUGUGAUUGAUGAAAUAACCAAACAGUUAAAUAUAACGUGCCACGUGUACCACAUACUGACACACAAGAACCAAUUUUUAAUAGUAAAAAUGGAUGGGAUUUUUGACA
rfam:Gossypium hirsutum cultivar TM-1 chromosome 10, whole genome shotgun sequence